rnacentral:rRNA from 1 species
UUUCAAGGGAGUCGAGUAUGAAUGGNUCUACGGAAACAAGCUGUCUCUUUAUGGUUUUAUUGAAGUUUCUUUAAGGGUGCAAAGUCCCUUGAUCAGAAAAAAGACGAGAAGACCCUUAGAGUUUUUAUUUAAGGUAAGAAUUUAUUUAAGUUUUUGCUGGGGCGGCAAAGAGACAAACAGUUAACUCUCUUCAUAUUAUUUUUAGAAGACGAUAAUGUUAAGAAUCAUUAAACUACCUUAGGGAUAACAGCAUAAUUAAGUUUUAGUUUGUGACCUCGAUGUUGGAUUAGGAAAGCUUUUGACCAGCAGUCAAAAAUCGCGGUUCUGUUCGAACUCA